UGGGGGAAUAUUGGGCAAUGGGCGCAAGCCUGACCCAGCAACGCCGCGUGAAGGAAGAAGGCUUUCGGGUUGUAAACUUCUUUUAAGAGGGACGAAAGAAAUGACGGUACCUCUUGAAUAAGCUCCGGCUAACUACGUGCCAGCAGCCGCGGUAAUACGUAGGGAGCGAGCGUUAUCCGGAUUUACUGGGUGUAAAGGGCGUGUAGGCGGGAUGGCAAGUCAGGCGUGAAAACUAUGGGCUCAACCCAUAGCCUGCGUUUGAAACUGUCGUUCUUGAGUGAUGGAGAGGCAAGCGGAAUUCCGUGUGUAGCGGUGAAAUGCGUAGAUAUACGGAGGAACACCAGUGGCGAAGGCGGCUUGCUGGACAUUAACUGACGCUGAGGCGCGAAAGCGUGGGGAGCAAACAGGAUUAGAUACCC
rnacentral:rRNA from 1 species